CGCAGGCGGCCUUUUAAGUCUGAUGUGAAAUCUUGCGGCUCAACCGCAAGCGGUCAUUGGAAACUGGAGGGCUUGAGUACAGAAGAGGAGAGUGGAAUUCCACGUGUAGCGGUGAAAUGCGUAGAUAUGUGGAGGAACACCAGUGGCGAAGGCGACUCUCUGGUCUGUAACUGACGCUGAGGCGCGAAAGCGUGGGGAGCAAACAGGAUUAGAUACCCUGGUAGUCCACGCCGUAAACGAUGAGUGCUAGGUGUUAGGGGUUUCGAUGCCCGUAGUGCCGAAGUUAACACAUUAAGCACUCCGCCUGGGGAGUACGGCCGCAAGGCUGAAACUCAAAGGAAUUGACGGGGGCCCGCACAAGCAGUGGAGCAUGUGGUUUAAUUCGAAGCAACGCGAAGAACCUUACCAGGUCUUGACAUCCUUUGACCACUCUGGAGACAGAGCUUCCCCUUCGGGGGCAAAGUGACAGGUGGUGCAUGGUUGUCGUCAGCUCGUGUCGUGAGAUGUUGGGUUAAGUCCCGCAACGAGCGCAACCCUUGACCUUAGUUGCCAGCAUUCAGUUGGGCACUCUAAGGUGACUGCCGGUGACAAACCGGAGGAAGGUGGGGAUGACGUCAAAUCAUCAUGCCCCUUAUGACCUGGGCUACACACGUGCUACAAUGGAUGGUACAAAGGGUUGCGAAGCCGCGAGGUGGAGCCAAUCCCAUAAAGCCAUUCUCAGUUCGGAUUGUAGGCUGCAACUCGCCUGCAUGAAGUUGGAAUUGCUAGUAAUCGCGGAUCAGCAUGCCGCGGUGAAUACGUUCCCGGGCCUUGUACACACCGCCCGUCACACCACGAGAGUUUGUAACACCGGAAGUCGGUGAUCUAACCGUCGGAACCAGCUAACCGACUAGAGUU
rnacentral:rRNA from 1 species